GAUAUCAAGAACGUGUAAGUUGGCGCAGCUUGAGCUCUUUCACGUUAGCGCUUUAAGGCCGGUCGUCCACCUAAAAGACAUUUGUUUACGACAUGUCGUCGACGUGUCGCCGACAUGUCGCUUUUUAUCAGAACUCAUAGUUUUGAAUUGCCUCUCGUACAUUAAACGGACACGUCGCAAACGAGCCAGUACUUGUCUGCGACAAUUUGUAUACGACACUGCUUGCUGUGUUUUCAAGUGACAUUUGUCGUUUGUUCAAUACCGUGAACGUGUGUGUGCAGCGAAAAUAUGAAGGACGACCCUAAUUUUAAUAUUAAAUUUAUGGAAGCUGUUGAAAAGUACAGGGUAUUAUAUGAUUACACUUUAAGCGAAUAUUCAAACAGACAAAUUCAGGAAAAAACAUGGAAUGAAGUUGGAAAGGGACUCAAUGAAAUAGGUGCAGCCUGCAAAGAAAAAUGGAAAAAUAUUCGAUCGCCUAUGCCCGACACUUAAGACAAACGCCUCCAUCUGGUUCUGCAGCAAAACCUAAGAAAACCUAUUAUUUGGCUGAAUAUUUGCAUUUUCUUAUACCUUUUUCCAAAUCGAGAAUUCAACAGAGUAAUAUUCCUUUACAACAACUAGUAGAAGAUGAAGAUAAGGAUAGCAGUUCUAGCGAUGUUAAUGAAGUUGCCAGCGAUAAUUUGGAUCAAUGUUCUGCAACAAAUGAAACCGAAAUAGUGGCAAAUAAAAAUGUUGAAAAUAUUGAAGAACCUAUUUUUAAAAAACAGAAAACCCUAGCUAAAUUUCAUACUGAUACUAAAACCCAAAAACUGAGACAAGCAAAAUCGAAUCCAUUGGAGAAAUGCGCUAUAGAUUAUUUCCAUUUUAAAAAUACUACAAAAGAAAUCGACGAUCCGGAUUUGCAAUAAUUUUUAAAAAGCCUUUUACCAGAUAUACACAGAAUGAACCAUACUCAGAAGCAUCAGUUUAAAAUGCGAACCAUGCAAACAAUAGAUGAUAUAAUAUAUCCAUCAGAGCCACAAACACGUUCUUUUAAAGCCGUUAAUAUAUCACAUACACAAUCAUCAGACUUGCUAAACUUAGGGGGUAUGACAUCCUCAAGAAACCUAUCCCAGAUUUCCACAAGAUGGUUCCGAUCGACUACUGUCAAAGAGCUCCUCGACACGUACUGAGUCCCCGCAGUACAUUCAAUUAACAGCACCAUCUUAUUCGAGAAAUGUAAAUAUCCCACCACUGAUUUCACCCAAUCAAUCAAUAACACCAUGUUCAUAUUCAACCAUUUCAAGUGCUCCAUCACCAUUAAUAUCUCCAAGCGAUGACGAUUAUUGAUUUUCUACUUGCAGUUACUACUACUAAGUUUAUUGUUACAAUGUUGUUUACAGGUUAGUUUAUCCCCGUCAAUUACUUUCUGUGUAAUAAAGAAAUAAUAAAAAUAUUUUUUUACUUA